rnacentral:lncRNA from 11 species
AAGAAUUAUCCUUGUUCUUGCUUUCUUAUGCCACAGUCACCCGCAUCCCUAUUGGACCAUUCAUCUUCCAUUAAUGUUUGAGAAGCCAUGAAAGACCUCAGCCUCCCUCUUUUCACAACAAACCCAUGAAGCAGAGGACAAAAGGAGAAGUCACUGCCCCAAGGAUAUCACAAGGAGAGGAAACAUCCUUGACAUCAAUACAAGAGAUGCAACCAGCUAAAAGACAUGCAAUUGAAGAUGAGAGUCCCACUUGUGUAGCUCGAAUAGACUGUAGCAACUUGGAGAGACUUAAUAAGAUGCAUAACCUGCUCCAUUUUAACCACCUAACCUCACCGGUGCAAGCAGACAGGUGUCACUCACAGUUUACAUGAUCAACAAAGCGCAGCAUUUCUAAAACUCCUGCUUCACUGCCCUGGCACACAAAAUAUAAUGCAUUUUGAAAGAGAGGUUCCAAAUAAAGGGGAUGAGUGGGGUAUGAAAACCAGUCAGCAGUGACUUAGAAAGGUAAAAGGAG